rnacentral:misc_RNA from 1 species
UAGAAUGCCUCUAAGAACAUUGAACUUUAAGAGCCCUUUAGAGGUUUUAUAAGAUCACAAUUCUUAUACUAUUCUCCCAACAAUUUUUAGAUGUGUCUGUUUUAUUCACAAAAUAAAUGUUAAGAAGUUAAAACCUAGAGCUCUUAAAUGUGUGUUUGUAGGUUAUUCUGAUACUUAAAAGGGCUAUAAAUGUUAUCAUCUUCCUACUAGGAAAUAUUUUGUCAGUAUGGAUGUUACCUUUAGAGAAUCUGAGCCUUAUUUUCUGGUCAAGUCACCUCUUCGGGGGAGCAUAAGGAGGAAAGAGAAGAAGUGUUUUUUCCCAACCACCUUUGGGGGAGACUAUUAGGCUUGGGUCGCACCUUAGUGUGAGCCAUCUAAUCAGACCAACUACCUCCUUAAACCCUAGGGAAAUUGAAUAGAUUGGAUUUGAGACUCUACAUAUAUUGGAAUAAGAUAGAUACAACCAUUGAACUUGAUACACCUAAUCAACCA